rnacentral:rRNA from 1 species
UACAGAGGGCUCAAGCGUUGUUCGGAUUCAUUGGGCGUAAAGGGCGCGUAGGUGGCGCCGUAAGUCGGGUGUGAAAUUUCGGAGCUUAACUCCGAAACUGCAUUCGAUACUGCGGUGCUUGAGGACUGGGGAGGAGACUGGAAUUCAUGGUGUAGCAGUGAAAUGCGUAGAGAUCAUGAGGAAGACCAGUGGCGAAGGCGGGUCUCUGGACAGUUCCUGACACUGAGGCACGAAGGCCAGGGGAGCAAACGGG